rnacentral:rRNA from 1 species
AUACGGAGACUACGAGCGUUACUCGGAUUCACUGGGCGUAAAGGGAGCGCAGGCGGAAUGAUGUGUUAGGUGUGAAAUCCCGGGGCUUAACUCCGGAACUGCGCCUAAAACUAUCAAUCUAGAGUAUUGGAGAGGCAAGCGGAAUUUCUGGUGUAGCGGUAAAAUGCGCAGAUAUCAGAAGGAACACCGAAGGCGAAGGCAGCUUGCUGGACAAUAACUGACGCUGAGGCGCGAAAGCGUGGGGAGC